AUUGCCGAGUGGUGCUCGUGUCCCUACCUCCGGGCACAAAGGUCUAGGUGUAAAUCCCACAGAAGUGUCUCCUAAUAUAUCUGAACAAACUGAUGAAACUGGUUUUAGAAUUGUGACUUGAUGGAGAAAGAACAGGUGUCAGUGUUGAAUUUCAGCAUUUCGGCCCAGGAUUAUUGAAAGUACAGCCAUUCGUGUUGAUUGGAGUCACAUUUCGCAGCAGGAAAGGUUUAUAAAAUCAAAAUGGUCAUGGAUAGGGUUUGUAGUCAAGGCUUUUCCCCAGGUUAGGGGCGUCCAAAACUAGAGGAUAUUGGUGGAAAGUGAGAGGGGAAAGGUUUUGAAGAGGCCUAAGGGGCACCUUUUCACACAGAGGGUGGUGUGCGUAUGGAAUGAGCUGCCAGAGGAAGUGGUGGAGGCUGGUACAACUACAUCAUGUAAAAGGCAUCUGGAUGCUGACAGACCUGGUGAGUUUUUCCAGCAAUUUCUGUAUUUGUUAAAACAAAGAAUUCAUUUUAACACAGGUAUCUGUGUUAGCUGGCUGGAUACAGAAUUGGCUGGCCAGCAGAAGACAGUGAGUGGUAGUGGAAGGAAAAUAUUUUGCCCGGAAGUCUGUGGUGAGUGGUGUUCCUCGGGGCUCUGACCUUGGGCCUCUACUCUUGGUAAUUUUUUAAAAAUGACUUGGAUGAGCGGAUUGAAGAAUCAGUGAGCAAGUUUGCAAUGACAUGACGGUUGGAGAUGUCGUUGACAGUAUAGAGGGCUGUUGUAGGCUGCAGCGGGACAUUGACAGGAUGCAGAGAUGGGCUGAGAGGUGGCAGAUGGAGUUCAACCUGGAUAAAUGCGAUGUGAUGCAUUUUGGAAGGUUGAAUUCGAAAGCUGAGUACAGGAUUAAGGAUAGGAUUCUUGACAGUGUGAAGGAACAGAGAGAUCUUGGUGUGCAGGUACAUAGAUCUCUUAAAAUGGCCACCCAAGUGGACAGUUUUGUUAAGAAAGCAUAUGGUUUUUUGUCUUUCAUUAACAGGGAGAUUCAGUUUAAGACUCGUGAGAUCUUGUUGCAGCUCUAUAAAACUUUGGUUUGAACGCAUUUGGAAUACUGUGUCCAGUUCUGGUCACCCUAUUAUAGGAAAGAUGUGGAUGCUUUGGAGAGGGUUCAGAGGAGGUUUACCAGGAUGCUGCCUGGACUGGAGGGCUUAUCUUAUGAGGAGAGGUUGACUGAGCUCGGACUUUUUUCAUUGGAGGAAAAGAGGAGGAGAGGGGACCUAAUUGAGGUAUUCAAGAUUAUGAGAGACAUAGAUAGAGUUGAUAGCCAUAGACUAUUUCCCAGGGCAGAAAUGGCUAACACGAGGGGUCAUAGUUUUAAGCUGGUUGGAGGAAAGUAUAGAGAGGAUAUCAGAGGCAGGUUCUUUACACAGAGAGUUGUGAGAGCAUGGAAUGCGUUGCCACAGCAGCAGUUGUGGAAGCGAGGUCAUUGGGGCCAUUUAUAUGCUGGAUAUGCAUAUGGUCACAGAAAUGUAAGGGUGCAUACAUGAGGAUCAAUGGUCGGCACAACAUGGUGGGCUGAAGGGCCUGUUCUGUGCUGGACUGUUCUAUGUUCCAUGUUCUAUGUAUUCUGGAUACAUUAAACAUUUUAUUUUUUAAUGACGCAGGGACAUAUAAACAUAUCUUCAAAUCAACCGACACCAUUUUCUGCUCAGGGUAUGGCUCUGUGUAUAACAGCAGCAAUGAUGCACCGACAUGGAACAGGGAAUGUGAUGGAGACAUCGUUUGGACAAUGUACAAGGAGACCUCACAUGGUCCAGUAUUGGGAGAGAAUGACAUUAUUGUGUGAUUCAACUCAGAGAGGGAGACAAUGUCAUCUGCCAGAGAAGAAACAGCCUAUUGCACUCUCUCUCCUUCAUUACUCCCCAUCACAGUAACGUGCACGAGCUAAAACAAAAGUCUACUGUCAUUGUUACCAUUCUUAUUUUUAUAGAAUCCUGCAGUGUGGAAACAAGCCCUUCGGCCCAACAAGUCCAUACCAACCUUCCAAAGAGUAACCUUCCCAUGCCCUUACAGUUACCACUGACUAGUGCACCUAAAGUAGAAAUCGCUGAACACUGUGGACUAUUUGACCAACCCACUUGAAUUAUACAGCUUUGGGCUGUGGGAGGAAAUGGGAGCGCCCAUCAGAAGCUCACGCAGACAAGGGGAGAAGAUGCAAACUCCACCCAGAUAGUCGCCCGAGGCUGGAAUUGAACUCAUACCCCUGAUGCUGUGAUGGAACACUGCGAACUCCUGAGCCACUGUGCUAACCUGGAACCUCCUGACUGCCGAAUGCAAAGGGAAUUCAGCCCAAUUCCAACUGUCCCAGGAUAAAAUCCCAUUGCUAGCAGCUGUAUGCAAUGUUACUGGACAAACAACUCGGUGUGAAGCAUAACCCCAUUUGCUUAAAUACGAUAGAUGAGAUAAAACCAAAGAAAGAAGAAUUUAGAAUAAUGUAUUUAUAUUGGACAAGUUAACAGAACAAUAGAUCUAGGAACUAAUACUAAUGAACUGUUCCAAUACUGGAAAAUCACAUGAACACAGCCCUUGGAAAAAAGGAAUAUUCAGACACUGAAUGACACAAAUAUUUCUCCAAUUCAGGAUUUAAAAACAGCACCAAGAGAAAAUUCAUAGAGAGGAGCUGCCAGGAGACAUUCACUAAAACUUUCAACUCGGUGGAGACCCCAAUAAUUUCUGAUGUUACUGAGAAACCGAAACCCAGAAAUCCUAAUCUGUGAAAGCUGACCACACCCAUUCCAUCUGCAUUAAAAUAAACCCAAGGCAUCACUAGUUGUUUAUUCAAGUGGUCCUAACUAGCCAGCUUGGUAACGGUCAUUCAAUCUCUCUCUUAAAAUAAACCAGAACAAAAUAACUUCUUAAAGCUACAGCAUCAUCACACUAGUCAGCACAUCGAGCUGUCAUUCAGGAACCAGGGGUAACACAAUCAGGCCUUUGACCCAAUCGGACGAGGAAGUAGCCAGUCAGUCCCUUGAGUGACUUACACAGGAACAGUAGGAGGCCAUUCCCACCUCAAUGCACUUACACGGGGCAGAAUGAGGUAAUUGAUGCUGAUUCCUGAUGAACGGCUUAUGCUCGAAACGUCGAUUCUCCUGCUGUGCUUUUCCAGCAAACCACUGUCUACUCUGAUCUUCAGCAUCAACAGUCCUCGCUGUCUCCUAAUUGAUGCUCUAACAUGAUGACCAAGUGGAGCAGAGGCUGCACACACAGACUGCUCCACGUUGUUCCUCGUAGCUCCGUCUGUCAUGAUACACACGUGGGACUUUAACGUGGUUUUCUCGCGGUGAGGAGGGAAGACAUAUGUCUUGUGUGAAGUUACAAGAAGGCUCCUUCCAUCUCCGGGAAGCCAGCCUGGUGUUCUCUAUGUAGGGUGGAUGCUGAUGGGAAUGGCUACCUGUUUCAGAUGGAAGGUAUUGUGGCUGCUGUUGGGGAUUGUGAGCAACCUGAUGUUCAGUUCGGGUUCACACGCCGACUACACAAUAACGUGGGGAGAGUUAAUUAAGGCAUAUAAACUAUUAGGAAAGUCACGUUAGACUGAUGGAUGGACUCUCUAAAUUCAAAUAAUGCUGAUCUUGUUCAUGUUGAUCUUGUCUAGUGCACAUCCUGUUCAAUGUAACCGUUAUGCCUUACUCUGUCCAAGUCUAUUUCCACCCUAUGAUCUGUCUGCUCAUGUUUACUAUGAUCUGCCUCCACUGCUCAUAAAUAAAGUGUUUCCCUGUACUGAGGUACACGUGACAAUAAAUCAAACCAAUAACUCC